UGGGGAAUUUUGGACAAUGGGGGCAACCCUGAUCCAGCAAUGCCGCGUGUGUGAAGAAGGCCUUCGGGUUGUAAAGCACUUUUGUCCGGGAAGAAAUCGCACCUGAUAAUACCGGGUGUGGAUGACGGUACCGGAAGAAUAAGGACCGGCUAACUACGUGCCAGCAGCCGCGGUAAUACGAAGGGUCCAAGCGUUAAUCGGAAUUACUGGGCGUAAAGCGUGCGCAGGCGGUUGUGCAAGACCGAUGUGAAAUCCCCGGGCUUAACCUGGGAAUUGCAAUGGUGACUGCACGGCUAGAGUGUGUCAGAGGGGGGUAGAAUUCCACGUGUAGCAGUGAAAUGCGUAGAGAUGUGGAGGAAUACCGAUGGCGAAGGCAGCCCCCUGGGAUAACACUGACGCUCAUGCACGAAAGCGUGGGGAGCAAACAGG
rnacentral:rRNA from 1 species